rnacentral:rRNA from 1 species
UGGGGAAUAUUGGACAAUGGGCGCAAGCCUGAUCCAGCCAUGCCGCGUGAGUGAUGAAGGCCCUAGGGUUGUAAAGCUCUUUCACCGGUGAAGAUAAUGACGGUAACCGGAGAAGAAGCCCCGGCUAACUUCGUGCCAGCAGCCGCGGUAAUACGAAGGGGGCUAGCGUUGUUCGGAAUUACUGGGCGUAAAGCGCACGUAGGCGGAUCGAUCAGUUAGGGGUGAAAUCCCGGGGCUCAACCCCGGAACUGCCUCUAAUACUGUCGAUCUGGACUUCGAGAGAGGUGAGUGGAAUUCCGAGUGUAUAGGUGAAAUUCGUAGAUAUUCGGAGGAACACCAGUGGCGAAGGCGGCUCACUGGCUCGAUACUGACGCUGAGGUGCGAAAGCGUGGGGAGCAAACA